AAUCCAUAGGUUAAUGAGGCGAACCGGGGGAACUGAAACAUCUAAGUACCCCGAGGAAAAGAAAUCAACCGAGAUUCCCCCAGUAGCGGCGAGCGAACGGGGAGGAGCCCAGAGCCUGAAUCAGCAUGUGUGUUAGUGGAAGCGUCUGGAAAGGCGCGCGAUACAGGGUGACAGCCCCGUACACAAAAGCGCAUGUGCUGUGAGCUCGAUGAGUAGGGCGGGACACGUGGUAUCCUGUCUGAAUAUGGGGGGACCAUCCUCCAAGGCUAAAUACUCCUGACUGACCGAUAGUGAACCAGUACCGUGAGGGAAAGGCGAAAAGAACCCCGGCGAGGGGAGUGAAAAAGAACCUGAAACCGUGUACGUACAAGCAGUGGGAGCACAGGUUUACCUGUGUGACUGCGUACCUUUUGUAUAAUGGGUCAGCGACUUAUAUUCUGUAGCAAGGUUAACCGAAUAGGGGAGCCGGAGGGAAACCGAGUCUUAACCGGGCGUU
rnacentral:rRNA from 1 species